rnacentral:rRNA from 1 species
AUUGAACGCUGGCGGCAGGCCUAACACAUGCAAGUCGAGCGGAUGAAGAGAGCUUGCUCUCUGAUUCAGCGGCGGACGGGUGAGUAAUGCCUAGGAAUCUGCCUGGUAGUGGGGGACAACGUUUCGAAAGGAGCGCUAAUACCGCAUACGUCCUACGGGAGAAAGUGGGGGAUCUUCGGACCCCACGCUAUCAGAUGAGCCUAGGUACGAUUAGCUAGUUGGUGAGGUAAAGGCUCACCAAGGCGACGAUCGUUAACUGGUCUGAGGGGAUGAUCAGUCACACUGGAACUGAGACACGGUCCAGACUCCUACGGGAGGCAGCAGUGGGGAAUAUUGGACAAUGGGCGAAAGCCUGAUCCAGCCAUGCCGCGUGUGUGAAGAAGGUCUUCGGAUUGUAAAGCACUUUAAGUUGGGAGGAAGGGCAGUAAGUUAAUACCUUGCUGUUUUGACGUUACCAACAGAAUAAGCACCGGCUAACUUCGUGCCAGCCGCCGCCGUAAGAC